UCGGGUAUGGUGUAACGGCUAACAUGGCUGCCUUUCAUUUGAUGUUUAGUGAUCGCAGCAGCUCGGGGUUCGAUUCCCCGUACCCGAG